rnacentral:rRNA from 1 species
GGAGGAAGCAGGGGAUCGCAAGACCUUGCGCUUUUGGAGCGGCCGAUGCCUGAUUAGCUUGUUGGUGAGGUAAAAGCUCACCAAGGCUCCGAUCAGUAGCUGGUCUGAGAGGACGACCAGCCACACUGGGACUGAGACACGGCCCAGACUCCUACGGGAGGCAGCAGUGGGGAAUUUUGGACAAUGGGGGCAACCCUGAUCCAGCCAUGCCGCGUGAGUGAAGAAGGCCUUCGGGUUGUAAAGCUCUUUCAGCCGGAACGAAACGGUCACGGUCAAUACCCGUGACUACUGACGGUACCGGAAAAAGAAGCACCGGCUAACUACGUGCCAGCAGCCGCGGUAAUACGUAGGGUGCGAGCGUUAAUCGGAAUUACUGGGCGUAAAGCGUGCGCAGGCGGCUUUGUAAGUCAGAUGUGAAAUCCCCGGGCUUAACCUGGGAACUGCGUUUGAAACUACAAAGCUAG